UUUACUGUAUAUUAUUUUCACAAUAGGGGCUUAUUCCACAAAAAAUAUUUUAGAGGGGCCUUUACCAAAGGAACCCUAUUUUAGAGGGGCCUCCAACAUAUUUAAGCCUUUAUAAAAUACUAAUUGAAGGACUAAUUUCAUCAUUAAACCUAGAAACUACAGAUCCCAUAUACAUAGGCCAAAUAUCCACCAACAUAUCUGCUCAUCUGCUGGUGCUGAAAGAAAGAUGAACGAGCAGCGACGAAGCUGCACGGAGGAGAAUCCAUCACUCUCUUCCAUUCUCCCCGACGAGUUGAUCAUACAAAUCCUCUUGCAACUACCAGUGACUUCUCUUCUCCGUUUCAAAUCCGUCUCCAAAUCAUGGUUCUCUCAAAUUUCCAAUCCCCAAUUUGCCAAAUCCCAUUUUAACCUAGCUGCUUCACCCACCCACUAUCUCUUCCUCAAAUCCACCGAUGAAUUCCAAUUCCAAACCCUAGACAUUGAAUCAUCACCACCAUUCACCACUGCAGUGCUCAACUACCCGCAUGAACAACCCCGUUCUGGUAGUAAUUCUAUAUUCUGUCCCUCCAUCACUGAUCUUGAGGUUCUGGGUUCUUGCAGAGGGUUUCUACUUUUCCUUUUACCCAAUUUCGCUGAUUUCGUUGUGUUUAAUCCAUCAACGGGUUUCCAAAGACGGGUUCAAUCGACUAGUUUUCGUUAUUCUGCAUCUUCUUUGUAUGGUAUUGGGUAUGAUGAAUCAAAUGAUGAUUACUUGUUAGUUUCUGUAAAUUCCUAUGGCUAUGCUCCUACAAUUGAGGGUUUUUCUUUGAAAACCAAUGUACCCUUUUCGCUGCGAAUGGAUGAUGAAUAUCGGCAUCUUGAUUUCGAUUAUGAACAUGAUUUGUUCUUAAAUGGGUGUCUUCAUUGGUUGGUUAAGCCUAGUGUUAAGCAGGUUUAUGUAGUGCUGGCAUUUGAUUUGAUACGGAGGAGUUUAUCGGAGAUUGCUCUGUCGCAUGAUUUAGCUCUGGAAUUGAAUAAGAAAUCGUAUUGUUUGGGAGGGAUGAGAGGAUUUCUUGGUGUGUGUUGCAUUGGUUAUCACGGCGUGGCUGAAAUAUGGAUAAUGAAAGAGUAUAAAGUGCGAUCGUCUUGGACUAAGAUUGUUUUGUUUGCUCAUGACAUCCCUCGCACGUCCGGAUUUUUUCCUAUAUGUUUCACCAAACGGGGCGAUGUUUUUGGAACGAAUGAGCUUGGGAGGUUAUUGAGACUCGACGGUAAAGGAAAGCUGCUUGCAGUUUGGCCGGGGGAGAGCAGAUAUUGUCUAUUACAUAGUCGUAUGUAUACAGCGAGUUUACUGUCACUCCCUGGUUAGUUUGAGGACCAACAGAGUAUCAAUGGAAAAUAUUUUGUCUCGCUUGCUCGGAAUAAUGAAAGGCAGUUUGGGUGGAAAAUUAUGCUUGAAGCAUGCAAGAAUACUCUGAAUAGUCAGGUCAAUGUCAUAGCUUUCCUUCAAAUGAUGAUACUACAAGAAGAAAACAUAGUAUUUCAAAGAGAAUAUAAAUUAUAUCAUGUAAAAUAGUCUUGCAUGGCCGGUGUCUGUUUUAGUGGUGAUUUUAGUAAGGUAGGAGUGUAGAUAGACUUUAGAAUUGAAUUAUGUUCCUGAGUAUGAAAGUUAGAAAAUCCUAGUUGGAAUUAGUACUUGAUAUUUUGUUUCUUUAUCUAUUUCCCCUCCUAAUUUUUUUCUUGUCUUAGCAGUUUUUCCUCUUACUGUAUUUUAAUGUACUGGUUUUUUAUCUUAUGUUCUGGCACAUUUAUCAGUUCACUGUUA